GCCAGAAGCCAUAUCACCCUGCAAUUCACAACUGGCAACCCACUGAAGCUAAGCUGUGUGAGCUGGGUCAGUACCUGGAUGGGAGACCUCCUGGGAAAAACUAAGGCUGUUGCUGGAA
rnacentral:rRNA from 1 species